rnacentral:lncRNA from 1 species
ACAGUGUCCAUGGGUCUUGAUUGUGACUCGGUCCAACCAGCAUCACUCCACUUCGAACAUAAAUCGGCCCAAUCCGACCUCCUAAUAUUUCGAACGUGACUCGGCCGAACACUAGCUACCGCUCGCCACAUGACAGAAUGCUGAUCUUUUUAUGCCAACAAAAAUGGUAGAGGAAGGACAGGAAGAAAAAGGAGGGAGACGGGCCGAGGAGAAAGACAAAGAAGAGAGAAAAAAAAAAGGAAAGAGAAAAAUAAAUAAAAGUAUUUUAGUUAGUUUACUAAAAUUUCUGGCUGGAUUUAUAAAAUUCAAAAU